CACUUGGAGCUGCUAAAUGUGCUUGCAUACUUGGAUAUUGAAGACAGCUGCUCCAAAAAUGGCAGCUUUCCCUGCUGGGCUCUCUUCCAUACA
rnacentral:lncRNA from 1 species